UGAUUUGUAGUGUAUGGAGCACACAGGUUUUUGAUCCCUGAAGCAAAGGUUCGACUCCUUUCUUUUCAA
rnacentral:tRNA from 1 species